rnacentral:lncRNA from 1 species
GAUUGUGAGGCCUCCCCCAAAUUGCCCAGUCUUGGAAAAUCUGAAUUGAUACAGCAGCUCAUCUGAAAAAAAAAGAUGGGGUGGUGGUGGUGGUGGAGAAAACAGCAACUUAAAUAGUGCCAUCUACGAAUUAGGAGUGUUCACUGAAUGAGCAUGAGAUGCAGGUACCUUGUUCCCUCAGCCAGGUUCUAUGUUCCUUAAAGUCCUAAUUUUAGUCAGUAAAUAUUUAUGGCAUUUACUCUAUGCCAGACAAUGUUCUAAAUAUUUUAUUUAUACUGAAUUAUUUGGUGUUUACAUCAGCCAUAUGAUUAACUACUGUUUCCAUUUUGCAGAUGAGAACAUUGAAGCACAGAGAAAUUAUGUUAACUUGUCCAGUGCCAAAGAGCUAUUAAGUGGCAGAGCUGGGAUUUACUUCCACUGCACUGUUGCCUCUUUGGUUAGGAGCUCUUUGCUGUGCUGAGAUUGCAGUAUUUAAAGAUAGACACUGCACCAGGAACUGGAGGACAAGGUAGCCAAUUUCUUGCCAUUCUAUUAAGGGAGGAAGAUUUUAAACAAAUAACUACAACAAAAUGUACAGAGUGGCAUGAUCAAAGGAGUACAAGGAGCUAUCAGAGAUGACUAGGAGUUGGCCAGAUGAAGAAAGUGUAGAGGGAAGUGUCUUGAAACCUUUCCCCUGAACAAACCUGAAAGGAACCCUGCCUCCAUCUUCAGCUCUGGAGGUUCAUGCAAGUGGUUUGGAGCUAAUUCAUCCAAAACUGGCAUAGCGAUUCAGGAAUCCAGGUCUAAGACAGUUAGCACUUGCUAGGCCCCUGGACUCCAUUCAUGAAUCGAUCAAGCUCAGGCCAGAGACACAAGAGGGAGAAAUUCUUAGGGUUCUAAGUCAGACAUUUCCUAUAACUGAAAAACAAACCACUGGAUGUCAGAGGGAAGUAAAUACACUGAGUAAGGGUCAAUCAAAAAACUAUGGAGAAACUGAGUUAUAGUCUUCAGGUUAAUAAAUCCUCAAGUCUAGCUGGUUUCUAGGUUUCUUUUUUCCUGAGCCAAAUGUAUUUCCUUAUUAUUUAAGAUAGUCUGAAUUUUUGUUGCUUUGUUAUUGUUGUUCUCACUUAAACAAACCACCUCUGAUAUGUUUUGUUCCUUCUCUUGCCAUGAGACACACUGGCUCCUUUUCACAUUUUGCUAUGAUUGUAAGCUUCCUGAGGCUGCCAACCAGAAGCUAAGCAGAUGCUGUUACUUUGCUUGUGAAGUCUGCAGAAUGAUGAGACAAAUAAACCUCUUUUCUUUCUGAAUUACCCAGCUUCAGAUGUUACAUCCUUGCCUUUACUAUCAUGCUGGAGAAAAAUCAUUCUUUGGAGAAUAAACUAGUGGGAGUGUGGUCUCAGGGACACCAACAUCUGGGGAGAGCAAGGUAGUGUGGCAUGGGAUUAAAGAAAACGUAUACAACAAAUUCGGAGACCCUCAGCAGCCUUCCCCCAUUGCUUUAGAAGGCCAGCAGCCAGACAUAUGUCCUAUUCUUCACCUUCUACAGCAGCAGAUUGGAAGGUCAUUUUGUGUAGAAAUGAAGUGGGCCCAGAGAGAUUUUUAGACACAGACAUGUGGAGCUCUCCAUCAGGAAGGAUGGCUUGCCCUUUCAUUACCCCGAGUAAAACCCAGCAAUUAAGUAUCUGCCCAUGCUUACAGUGCUUCAGAUGAAACACUUGAUGCUUCACUCUGAAAAAACAAGCGGACAAUCCAGGAUAACUGGAUAUUUUGAGGAAGGCUUUCCACAUGAAAGAGCUGAAAACACGCACAAUAUCAACCAGCCAAUGAAAGAAACAAAUCAACAAAACAACAAGGAAAAGGAAUUCAGUGAAAUAGAGACAAUGUUGGGAACAAAGGAAAAUUUUCAAAAAGCUGCCACUAAUAACUUCAGAAAUACAAGAAAAUUUGUUGCAUCUUUAGAAUAACAACAGGAAGCUUGGGAAAAAGAAACAUCAGAGCAAUAAA